rnacentral:rRNA from 1 species
AACGAACGCUGGCGGCAUGCCUAACACAUGCAAGUCGAACGCGACCUUCGUGUCUUGUGGCGCACGUGGGCGUACCACGUGGUAACCUGCCCUUAGGUUCGGAAUCCCUCCCCGUAAGGGAUGCUCAUGCCGGAUAAUGUCUUCUUGGCUAAGAUUUCUCGCCUUUGGAUGGGCCUGCGUUGGAUUAGCUAGUUGGUACGGGAAACGCAGAUCAUGGCCUCGAUGCCUAGCUUGUAUGAUACGAUGAUCCUCCACACUGGGACUGCGACACGGACUACACUCCUACGGGAGGCAGGAGUGGGGAAUACUGGACACUGGGCGAAGGCGUGAAGCAGCCAUGUCGCGUGAGUGAUGAAGGCCGUAGGGUUCUAAAGCUCUUUUACCCGGGACGAUAAUGACAGUACCGGGAGAAGAAGCGCCGGCUAACUCCGUG